CGGAGGGUGCAAGCGUUAUCCGGAAUCACUGGGUUUAAAGGGUACGUAGGCGGUAAUGUAAGUCAGACGUUAAAGACUACGGCUAAACCGUGGUACGCGUUUGAAACUGCGUAACUUGAAUAUAUUCGAGGUGCAUGGAAUGCUUCAUGUAGCGGUGAAAUGCAUAGAUAUGAAGUAGAACACCAAAAGCGAAGGCAGUGCACUAGGAUAUUAUUGACGCUGAGGUACGAAAGCGUGGGUAGCGAACAGGAUUAGAUACCCUGGUAGUCCACGCCCUAAACGAUGCUAACUGGUCAUUUGGCGCAAUAGUCAAGAGACUGAGGGAAACCAUUAAGUUAGCCACCUGGGGAGUACGUUCGCAAGAAUG
rnacentral:rRNA from 1 species